GGAACGGGCAACGCCAUUUUGUACGGAAGCUACUGGGGCAGGUGAUGCCUACCCAGUCUCUCUCCUCUGUUGAACAAAGGAUCUGUUAAAAUUGGAAGGGCUUAACGUCUUCUUCAGAAAAGUGACGCAUUUGUUACUGGGAUGGUAAGGUUCAGCAAAGUCUAUGUCAUUCUCUAAUCCUUUUGAUCCAGCGGAUUCUUUGGAGGAAUUUGAAUACAUAUUGGAUUUUGCAUCCAGGUUUGCAAGAGGAAAAUACAAAGGUGACUUCUGGGCCUGCUGGAGGUGGAGGGUAGAGGAUGGACAGCUGACAUCUAGUCACAGAGGAAAGAACACAGAAAGAGAUCUCCAGUUAAAGCUGAUAGAUUGAACCACAGACAACCCACCUCCUUCUAAAAUCCCUCUAGAACAAUGGUUUAAAAAAAGUGCUUUAACAUAAAACUUCAAAAUCAAAAAGAUAAGGAAAAUGAUGAAAACCACUCAGAUAAGAAGAGAGGAUAUUUAUGCAGAGGCUGCUGUCGUUGGGAGUCCGCCACCAUACCACUAUACUUUGGUGAGACUUGAAGGCAGGCAGGGAGUGGAAACACUUUAUGCUGUAGUGAAAAAAGGGGAAGGCUUCGGUAUGCUCUGACUGGAGAUCAUUGUCAUGGGGAAACUGCAGGUGGGCUAACUAGAGGCUGGGCUUCUUGUGUAAUGGUUUGGCUUUCUCUGGUUGGUCCUGUGUUGAAAAUAGGGGCAAAAUAUAGGGAAGCUGACUCAUUGACCAAGCCCUGCCCAGGCUGGCCAAUUGCAGAGGUUGUGGGUCAGAGUUCUAUUGUCAUAUAUGGUCUGGCUACUGUCUGUUUAUAUAAUCCGUCUCUCAGAGAACAGUAGAGGAGAUCAAAUUAUUAACAUUUUGGAAGCUGGAAAGCAGGAGGAUAGUGUGAGCUGAAUUAGCAGACUUGCCAUCUAUCAAAGGGGAUAGCCAAAAGCAAGCCAGAUUUGCCCCAGAGAACCACCAAAGGUUCAAGAAUUGGCAGCACCAGGUACCCCCAGAAGCAGGGAUAAAGUGGGGGCUGAAAUUGGACAGUUGGUUCAAAGUCUAUUUCAGAAGCAUUAGACCACUGGAUUUCUUCCCCAGCUCCCAAAUGACUGCCUGGUGCAAAAGACUCAGGAUUGAUUCCCUGGAGAGGGUAGGUAGUUCUUUGUCUAGUUAAGGAUGGGAUGCCAUAACAAACAUGCCAAUUCAGUGAAAGUACCUACUUUCAAGACUCCUGCUUAACUCCCCUAAAUCAGCAGCCAAUGUUAGAAGCCAAGUGUUAAAGUUUUUCAGAUAAUUUUGCUAUAAGCCUAUGGAGAAAUUUCAUUACCAUCUCAUAGCAAGGCCUAUAGUAUAAGAGCAGGCCUAUAGUAGCAUAUGG
rnacentral:lncRNA from 1 species